GAAGCUCUGUUGAGACCUCCUUUCUUUGACUGGCUGGUUCCACUGACCUGAUGAGCAGCCAAGCAUGUACAGGCUGCCAUGCAACUUCCUGCUGCGUCUUAAAUUGGCAGGGCACCUAGCAUUCCCGUCACAGAUCCUGCCCCCCCACCUUACACUUCCCAUACUUAACAAGUCAGCCCCCUGUUACUUACCUUGUUAAAAGAAUUGUAGACGUUGGUCCUUUCUGCUGGCAAACUGUGCAAUGAUUUCAGCGCUUCAACUACUUCAUCAAAAUUUUCUAAAAGAGCUUGGAUAGCCUUAACUUGACAGUUCCAUCACGUGUCACUGAGUGGUUUAAGAGUUACUGGUCCGCCAGAAAAAGAAGCAGUAUCUCAUUGGCUUCUUUCCAAGACUAUUUAUUCUAACAAAGCAGCCUUGAUCAGCGUGGCAAGUGAAGCACCAUCUGCAGCAUCCUAUAGAAGCCAAUAAAUCAUUCUUAUACUUCAAAAGGACUGGUUUAUAUAUCGCAGUGUGAGAAUGACUUUUUCAUGCCUAGAGAGAUCCAUUGGUUCAUCUGCAAUGAUUGCAAAACACUCCAGCUUCCUUUGCUUCUCUUACUAUUGAAUUCUGGGACUUGAAGCCAUAAUUUCAAGUAUUUCAUUUUGACAGGAGCUGUGUAGGUAGGUGAAGAACUUGUCUCGGUUAAUCAUAAACCGCUGAAUCACUUUGUUGUCUUCACUAUGCAGUUUCAUCAAUUCCCACAAGUUUCCAUGAUUUGUGGAAUCAGCUCCCUCAACAGGUAUG